rnacentral:rRNA from 1 species
UACAUAGGUCUCAAGCGUUGUUCGGAUUCAUUGGGCGUAAAGGGUGCGUAGCUGGCGCUGUAAGUCGGGUGUGAAAUUUCGGAGCUUAACUCCGAAACUGCAUUCGAUACUGCCGUGCUUGAGGACUGGAGAGGAGACUGGAAUUUACGGUGUAGCGGUGAAAUGCGUAGAUAUCGUAAGGAAGACCAGUGGCGAAGGCGGGUCUCGGGACAGUUCCUGACGCUGAGGCACGAAGGUCAGGGGAGCAAACGGG